ensembl:snRNA U6 U6 spliceosomal RNA
GUUCAUGUUAGCUGCACCUACACUAAAAUGGGAAUGAAACAGAGAAGAUUAGCAUGGUCUCUGCACAGGCACAACAUGCAAAUUCAUGGACUUUUCCAUGUUUCC